GCUGGAAUCGCUAGUAAUCGCGAAUCAGAAUGUCGCGGUGAAUACGUUCCCGGGUCCUUGUACACACCGCCCGUCACACCAUGGGAGUCGGGAAUGCCCGAAGUCAGUGACCCAACCAUAUGGAGGGAGCUGCCGAAGGCAGGUCUGAUAACUGGGGUGAAGUCGUAACAAGGUAAC
rnacentral:rRNA from 1 species